rnacentral:rRNA from 1 species
AUGAAAAGGCGAAGAUGGCCUGGUAACCCUAGUUGCUCUUUUUGUAAUAAUGUUGAAACAUCCCAACACUUGUUUUUUACUUGCCCUGUUGCUAAUGUGGUGUGGCGCUGUAUUGGGAUGGCAUUGGGUACAGACAGGUGCCCAAAUAACUACUGGCAAUAUUAUGCUUGGUGCAACACUUUCCUCCCCGGCGGAGAGGAAUACUAUACCGUAGGCCUGGCUGCCGCGUGUUGGGCUAUAUGGCUUGCUCGUAACCGAGCUACCUUUGAGAAAAAACAAAUCAAAACACCUUUCGAGAUUGUUUUCUCCAUGUGCUCCUUUCUCAUAUAUUGGACAGGUCUUCAAAGCGAAGGAGGAGCCAAGGAGCUGCAGGGAGGCGCAGAGAUGAUCAGGGCGGGUACAAUGAAUCUGCUGAAGAUGUGCAACGCGAUGCACCGACCGAUCGAGAGCGAAUAG